GGUGGGUUAGUUCAGUGUUUAGAGCUUAGGCCUUGUGACCAGAAGGUCCCAGGUUCGAAUCUCUUUUUCAAUCG
rnacentral:tRNA from 1 species